rnacentral:rRNA from 1 species
ACAGUUCGGUCCCUAUCUGUUGUGGGCGCAGGAAGUUUGAGAGGAUCUGACCUUAGUACGAGAGGACCGGGUUGGACUAACCUCUGGUAUACCGGUUGUCGUGCCAACGGCACAGCCGGGUAGCCACGUUGGGAGAGGAUAAGCGCUGAAAGCAUCUAAGCGCGAACCCCACCUCGAGAUGAGACUUCCAUAUAAGGGACGUCAGAGACUAUGACGUUGAUAGGCUGCAGGUGUAAAGACAGAGAUGUCAAAGCUGAGCAGUACUAAUUACCCAAUAACUUCAUUGC